rnacentral:rRNA from 1 species
GAACUUAAGCAUAUCAAUAAGCGGAGGAAAAGAAACCACCAGGGAUUGCCUCAGUAACGGCGAGUGAAGCGGCAACAGCUCAAAUUUGAAAGCUGGCCCUUUCAGGGUCCGCGUUGUAAUUUGUAGAGGAUGCUUCGGGCGCGGCGCUGGUCUAAGUUCUUUGGAACAAGACGUCAUAGAGGGUGAGAAUCCCGUAUGUGACUAGCUGCCUGUGCCUGUGUGAAGCUCCUUCGACGAGUCGAGUUGUUUGGGAAUGCAGCUCAAAAUGGGUGGUGUACUUCAUCUAAAGCUAAAUAUUGGCCAGAGACCGAUAGCGCACAAGUAGAGUGAUCGAAAGAUGAAAAGCACUUUGGAAAGAGAGUUAAACAGUACGUGAAAUUGUUGAAAGGGAAGCGCUUGCAAUCAGACUUGCGCGGCGUCGAUCAGCCUGGGUUCUCCCUGGUGCACUCGGCGCUGCUCAGGCCAGCAUCAGUUUCAGCGGUUGGAUAAAGGCCUAGGGAACGUGGGUUACUUCGGUGACUGUUAUAGCCCUAGGUGCAAUGCAGCCUGUUGGGACUGAGGACCGCGCUUCGGCUAGGAUGCUGGCGUAAUGGUUGUAAGCGACCCGUCUUGAAACACGGACCAAGGAGUCUAACAUCUAUGCGAGUUUUUGGGUGUCAAACCCAUAAGCGUAAUGAAAGUGAACGGAGGUGAGAACCCUUAAGGGUGCAUCAUCGACCGAUCCUGAUGUCUUCGGAUGGAUUUGAGUAAGAGCAUAGCUGUUGGGACCCGAAAGAUGGUGAUCUAUACUUGAAUAGGGUGAAGCCAGAGGAAACUCUGGUGGAGGCUCGCAGCGGUUCUGACGUGCAAAUCGAUCGUCAAAUUUGGGUAUAGGGGCGAAAGACUAAUCGAACCAUCUAGUAGCUGGUUCACGCCGAAGUUUCCC